rnacentral:rRNA from 1 species
CCUACGGGUGGCAGCAGUGGGGAAUAUUGCACAAUGGGGGAAACUCUGAUGCAGCGACGCCGCGUGAAGGAAGAAGUAUUUCGGUAUGUAAACUUCUAUCAUCAGGGAAGAAAAUGACGGUACCUGACUAAGAAUCCCCGGCUAACUACGUGCCAGCAGCCGCGGUAAUACUUAGGGGGCAAGCGUUAUCCGGAUUGACUGGGUGUAAAGGGAGCGUAGGCGGCGAUUCAAGUCAGAAGUGAAAGCCCGGGGCUCAACCCCGGGACUGCUUUUGAAACUGUGUUACUAGAUUGCAGGAGGGGCAAGUGGAAUUCCUAGUGUAGCGGUGGAAUGCGUAGAUAUUAGGAGGAACACCAGUGGCGAAGGCGACUUGCUGGACUGUAAAUGACACUGAGGCUCGAAAGCGUGGGGAGCAAACAGGAUUAGAUACCCUAGUAGUC